AGCGAACGCUGGCGGCAGGCCUAACACAUGCAAGUCGAACGAACUCUUCGGAGUUAGUGGCGGACGGGUGAGUAACACGUGGGAACGUGCCUUUAGGUUCGGAAUAACUCAGGGAAACUUGAGCUAAUACCGAAUGUGCCCUUCGGGGGAAAGAUUUAUCGCCUUUAGAGCGGCCCGCGUCUGAUUAGCUUGUUGGUGAGGUAAUGGCUCACCAAGGCGACGAUCAGUAGCUGGUCUGAGAGGAUGACCAGCCACAUUGGGGCUGAGACACGGCCCAAACUCCUACGGGAGGCAGCAGUGGGGAAUCUUGCGCAAUGGGCGAAAGCCUGACGCAGCCAUGCCGCGUGGAUGAUGAAGGUCUUAGGAUUGUAAAAUCCUUUCACCGGUGAAGAUAAUGACUGUAGCCGGAGAAGAAGCCCCGGCUAACUUCGUGCCAGCCGCCGCGGUAACAC
rnacentral:rRNA from 1 species